UAUAUAUGGUGUUUUUUUUUCGUCAGAUUGAACGCUGGCGGCAGGCCUAACACAUGCAAGUCGAACGGUAACAGAAAGCAGCUUGCUGCUUUGCUGACGAGUGGCGGACGGGUGAGUAAUGUCUGGGAAACUGCCCGAUGGAGGGGGAUAACUACUGGAAACGGUAGCUAAUACCGCAUAACGUCGCAAGACCAAAGAGGGGGACCUUCGGGCCUCUUGCCAUCGGAUGUGCCCAGAUGGGAUUAGCUAGUAGGUGGGGUAAAGGCUCACCUAGGCGACGAUCCCUAGCUGGUCUGAGAGGAUGACCAGCCACACUGGAACUGAGACACGGUCCAGACUCCUACGGGAGGCAGCAGUGGGGAAUAUUGCACAAUGGGCGCAAGCCUGAUGCAGCCAUGCCGCGUGUAUGAAGAAGGCCUUCGGGUUGUAAAGUACUUUCAGCGGGGAGGAAGGGAGUAAAGUUAAUACCUUUGCUCAUUGACGUUACCCGCAGAAGAAGCACCGGCUAACUCCGUGCCAGCAGCCGCGGUAAUACGGAGGGUGCAAGCGUUAAUCGGAAUUACUGGGCGUAAAGCGCACGCAGGCGGUUUGUUAAGUCAGAUGUGAAAUCCCCGGGCUCAACCUGGGAACUGCAUCUGAUACUGGCAAGCUUGAGUCUCGUAGAGGGGGGUAGAAUUCCAGGUGUAGCGGUGAAAUGCGUAGAGAUCUGGAGGAAUACCGGUGGCGAAGGCGGCCCCCUGGACGAAGACUGACGCUCAGGUGCGAAAGCGUGGGGAGCAAAACAGGAUUAGAUACCCUGGUAGUCCACGCCGUAAACGAUGUCGACUUGGAGGUUGUGCCCUUGAGGCGUGGCUUCCGGAGCUAACGCGUUAAGUCGACCGCCUGGGGAGUACGGCCGCAAGGUUAAAACUCAAAUGAAUUGACGGGGGCCCGCACAAGCGGUGGAGCAUGUGGUUUAAUUCGAUGCAACGCGAAGAACCUUACCUGGUCUUGACAUCCACGGAAGUUUUCAGAGAUGAGAAUGUGCCUUCGGGAACCGUGAGACAGGUGCUGCAUGGCUGUCGUCAGCUCGUGUUGUGAAAUGUUGGGUUAAGUCCCGCAACGAGCGCAACCCUUAUCCUUUGUUGCCAGCGGUCCGGCCGGGAACUCAAAGGAGACUGCCAGUGAUAAACUGGAGGAAGGUGGGGAUGACGUCAAGUCAUCAUGGCCCUUACGACCAGGGCUACACACGUGCUACAAUGGCGCAUACAAAGAGAAGCGACCUCGCGAGAGCAAGCGGACCUCAUAAAGUGCGUCGUAGUCCGGAUUGGAGUCUGCAACUCGACUCCAUGAAGUCGGAAUCGCUAGUAAUCGUGGAUCAGAAUGCCACGGUGAAUACGUUCCCGGGCCUUGUACACACCGCCCGUCACACCAUGGGAGUGGGUUGCAAAAGAAGUAGGUAGCUUAACCUUCGGGAGGGCGCUUACCACUUUGUGAUUCAUGACUGGGGUGAAGUCGUAACAGGG
rnacentral:rRNA from 1 species